ACGCGAGCUGUUUGGCGAAUU
rnacentral:miRNA from 1 species